UACGUAGGGACCAAGCGUUUGUUCGGAUUUACUGGGCGUAAAGGGCGCGUAGGCGGCAAUUCAAGUCAGCUGUGAAAUCUCUGGGCUUAACCCAGAACGGCCAGCUGAUACUGCUUUGCUAGAGUGCAGAAGGGGCAAUCGGAAUUCUUGGUGUAGCGGUGAAAUGCGUAGAUAUCAAGAGGAACACCAGUGGCGAAGGCGGCUAUCUGGACGGUUUCUGACGCUAAGACGCGAAAGCGUGGGGAGCAAACAGG
rnacentral:rRNA from 1 species